GUUAAGCAUCAGUACUCCCAGGGCUUACGUCUGCCUCUUUAGGAAAUGAAAAACCUAAUGGAUUAGUAACAGAACUGCGAAGAACUGAGAAGACAGCAUGCAUGCCGUGAGUACUCAGCGAUAGCUAUUAGUACCACCGACCUAGAGAUCAUACAACUCAGGAUGUUACCAGGGUCAAGAAGUUCCAGGGUCAAGAUUUGGUUCGUCCUUGGCCUGG